AAACAUGUCUUUAUGAAGGUUUAUAAAGUCUAACCUGCCCAUUGGGAACUAAAAGGCCGCGGUACUAUGACCGUGCAAAGGUAGCAUAAUCAUUAGUUUUUUAAUUGAAGACUAGAAUGAAUGGUUGGACAAGAAAUAAUCUGUCUUAAAUUAACAUAUUGAAUUUAACUUUUGAGUGAAAAGGCUUAAAUAAUCUGAAGGGACGAUAAGACCCUAUAAAACUUUAUAUUUAUAAGGUAGUAAUUAGUUUUAUUUAAUGGUAUUAUUUUUGGAGUAUUUGGUUGGGGUGACAGGGAUAAAAUACACAAUAACUGUCCUUUUUUUUUUCAGUUAUAUUUGAUUUAAUGAUCCUAAAAGGGAUUGAAGAUUAAGUUACUUUAGGGAUAACAGCGUAAUUUUCUUUAAGAGUUCUUAUCGACAAGAAAGUUUGCGACCUCGAUGUUGAAUUAAAAGUUCUUUAUAAAGUAGAGAUUAUAAUAGAAGGUCUGUUCGACCUUAAAAUUUACA
rnacentral:rRNA from 1 species